GCAGUCAGUCUCUGCUUCUUCUUCUCCAUCCCCGGCCCCUCACUCCGGCGACCGGAGAUGAGGAGGGCGCGCGGCGGUGAUGCCGUCGUGCGGGGAGCUGCGUGCGGCGGGCAGCAGAGGUAGGGAAGCGCCGGCGUCCGCGUCUCCAGUGAGAGCAACUCUACGGCCGCUAGAUCAUUGCUUUUGGAAACCAUUGAAGUUCACGGUUACACGAAGAAGGCGCAAAAUGAUACCCUCUACAAAUGGAAGCGUUGGAGGACCCGCGAGGUCACAAAAUGCACCACCGGGCUGUUAGUGCAAGAAGCCAAAUCCAGGUGUUCUAAGAGGCUGUCCGGGGAUUGUUAGUUAGUAUGCGAGUCCCACCUGCGUUAAGCGUGGGUCCCAAUUGUCAGAAGUUGACUUGUGGUCCCGACAUGUCAGUUAUUGACCAUUAUUUGUGGGCCCUACAAGUACAAAAAUAAAAGGGGGUGGCCCGUGGAGAGCCCGUGCCCCCGUUCCCUAUUACCCGACGCGCUCCUCUGCUUCCUCUGUACCGACCGACCGCCGCGCCACCGCUUCUCCAUCCCUGCCGUCGCUUCUCAUUCAAUUUUGAUUUAAAUUGGGAUUUUAGGAUUCUAGGGUUUGCACUAAAGGGGCUGAAAUUGGGGCUGAAAUUGAUGGGCUCUCGAAAUUGAUGGGCCAUGUUUGAUGUUCUUGUAGUUACUGAGACAAUGUAGCUUUUUCAUGUGGAUGGAUUCGUACAUUGAGAAGCUUCAAAUGGAAGGGAAGCUGCAAGGGCAUGUGAUGGAGGAGCAGAGGAGGGCAAUGGCAGAGGAGGGCAAUGGAAAGGCAGAUUUGCCCCUUUUGGAAGAGCUAAUGGGCAUGAAUGAGAAGCUGACAAAGUUGAUUGAGUUGAAGAAAGAUGAGAUGCAAGUUGCCAAACUGUUUAAUGCUUGUAUCAUCAUGUUGGGUUUGAUUUUAGUCGUCAGGAACCCGUUCAUGUAGCUCUUUGGUUUUAGAAUAAGAGUCGAUUGAAGGAAGAUUUGAUGUUAAAUGGUUUAUGUAAGAGAGCUCUUUAUGUAACUUUAUGUAA